UACGUAGGUGGCAAGCGUUGUCCGGAUUUACUGGGCGUAAAGAGCGCGCAGGCGGUCGUUCAAGUCGCGUGUGAAAGCCCCCGGCUCAACUGGGGAGGGUCACGCGAUACUGAUCGACUCGAAGGCAGGAGAGGGUAGUGGAAUUCCCGGUGUAGUGGUGAAAUGCGUAGAUAUCGGGAGGAACACCAGUGGCGAAAGCGGCGCACUGGACCACAACUGACGCUGAGGCGCGAAAGCUAGGGGAGCAAACAGG
rnacentral:rRNA from 1 species